rnacentral:lncRNA from 1 species
GCUGAAGGCUAUGACAAACUAACAAAAAAAAAAUUAGUUAUGUAACAUAACUAGUUUGUCAUUCCAUAUGUAAUGUUAUUGCUUCUUCACAAUAAUAUAGCCUUGUGAUGUAAGGUAGGUACUGUAAGAUCUUUUUAUUUUAUUUUUUUUUCUUUAUUUUUUUUUUUUUUUAGACGGAGUCUCGCUCUGUUGCCCAGGCUGGAGUGCAGUGGCCGGAUCUCAGCUCACAGCAAGCUCCGCCUCCCGGGUUUACGCCAUUCUCCUGCCUCAGCCUCCCGAGUAGCUGGGACUACAGGCGCCCGCCACCUCGCCGAAGAUCUUUUUAUUUUUUAAUGAGAAAACCAAGAGUUACAGAUUUAAAUGACUUAUCUAAGACAAUGCUGGCCUUUUUGAUUCCUUGCUAAUUCCUCUAAGCAAUGCUGUAGUCAACCAUUGAAUUAUUUUCCCUUCCACAAUUCUGGUUUCAGAGCCAUACCACCACCCUUACGUCCUGUCCCCAGACACACUUGACCCAGGAUUGGCCCAUGGAGUGCCCCAAGUCCAUCCAUUUAAGAGCCUUUUCCAGGACGAAAAAUAUAACUGGAUCUGAGAGAGAAAACAGUCUUCUCAAUGAUUGGUAUAUGGGCCCCAUGCUGCUGCUGACUAUGUUCCUUCCCCAAGAUAGAAAAAUCAUGGCAGCGGGAGAGAAUAAUGUGCAAGAAGAGAGACGGCAGAACAUCUGUUUUGUUGAAGAGCACAGCAAUGUUUACUGGACUAAGAAAUGGGCCUCUGCAGGUGAGCAACAACUUGGAUAUGGACUGGUUUCAAGAGGUAUCAUGAGAUGGUGCUGAAAGAAGAACAAUUAAGCAGAUAAUACAUCUGAAAGCAAGAUAAGUCGCUAUGGGUUAAGUAGAAGCCUGAUAACUAAACUAUUUUAGCUCUUAUAAGAAAAGAAACAAGAAAAAACAUCCAAUAAAUCUCCAGAUAAAGAAUAGAGACUCAUUUCCUAACUCAUCUUCUCUCGGGAGAAGAGAGAACUGAUGAAUAUUCGACUUCAUCAUCAUUUGGAAUCAGAUUCAGCUGGAGGAAUGGGGAUCUGCAAUCCUUUGACAUCAUUACAUUAACAAAAAGAGAAAGCUUUUGACCUCAAAUGAAAAAUCUCUUCCCUGUCAUUUAAAUAUUAGCCAUUAAAUCUCUGCUUCCU